CACCGCCCGUCACACCAUGGGAGCUGGUAAUGCCCGAAGUCGGUUUUGUUAACUACGGAGACAACUGCCUAAGGCAGGGCCGGUGACUGGGGUGAAGUCGUAACAAGGUAUCCCUACGAGAACGUGGGGAUGGAUUACCUCCUUUCU
rnacentral:rRNA from 1 species